rnacentral:rRNA from 1 species
AUUGAACGCUGGCGGCAGGCUUAACACAUGCAAGUCGAGCGGGGGAAGGUAGCUUGCUACCGGACCUAGCGGCGGACGGGUGAGUAAUGCUUAGGAAUCUGCCUAUUAGUGGGGGACAACAUCUCGAAAGGGAUGCUAAUACCGCAUACAUCCUACGGGAGAAAGCAGGGGAUCUUCGGACCUUGCGCUAAUAGAUGAGCCUAAGUCGGAUUAGCUAGUUGGUGGGUAAAGGCCUACCAAGGCGACGAUCUGUAGCGGGUCUGAGAGGAUGAUCCGCCACACUGGGACUGAGACACGGCCCAGACUCCUACGGGAGGCAGCAGUGGGGAAUAUUGGACAAUGGGCGGAAGCCUGAUCCAGCCAUGCCGCGUGUGUGAAGAAGGCCUUUUGGUUGUAAAGCACUUUAAGCGAGGAGGAGGCUACUUAGAUUAAUACUCUGGGAUAGUGGACGUUACUCGCAGAAUAAGCACCGGCUAACUCUGUGCCAGCCGCCGCAGUAA